AGGAACAGUUUAUCUUUUUAACCAGAUCUCUUUUUCUCACUGAUUUCACAGGCUUGAAAGCAGAAAUGCAGCCAGAAGAGAUGUGAUGUUUUAGCGUGUUAGAAAAUCAGCCACGUCUCGAUGUGAGAGACGUUUAAACCCUGAUCCUCUGGGCGCUGCUGCUCCCCGGCCAGGAUUAGCUCCUCUGUUCGCUCCGGCUGCUGACGAAGACCAACAGGAAACCAGGAUGAAGAUCACCGCCCCGCUGGAGAACACGACUCUGAAACCGAAUGAAGACAGAGAGUCUGCAGAGCCUGCAGCUGAACCUUGAGACGGAAACUGUUUCUAAAUGAGCAGCUUCAGAACCAUGAAGCAGCUUCAGUUUGGAUCAGAGCAGACAGAGGUCAAAGGUCGUUCUUCUGCAGUGAAACAAAGCCAGAAAUGUUCUGGCACACAACAACACGUCUGUCCUGCUCUGGACUUUCCUCUGCAUGUUCUGAUCGAGAGUCAGCCGGAUCAGAACAUGAAGGCGAUCCGUGUCUGAAUAUCUUACCAACGUCUGGACUUUCUGUUCAGAAGGUUCUGGAAUAAACACUAACCUGCAUCUGUAAACAACAAAUAAAAAUACAAU